AACGUAGGAGGCAAGCGUUAUCCGGAGUUACUGGGCGUAAAGCGCGUGUAGGUGGAUCGGUAAGUUACUUAUAAAAGCUCCUGGCUAAACUAGGAGAGGUUGAGUGAUACUGCCAGUCUUGAAUAGAGGAGGGGUUGACGGAAUUCCGCGUGUAGUGGUGAAAUGCGUAGAGAUGCGGAAGAACACCAGUGGCGAAGGCGGUCAACUGGCCUCAUAUUGACACUCAGACGCGAAGGCAUGGGUAGCGAACGGG
rnacentral:rRNA from 1 species